AACGAACGCUGGCGGCAGGCUUAACACAUGCAAGUCGAGCGAGACCUUCGGGUCUAGCGGCGGACGGGUGAGUAACGCGUGGGAACGUGCCCUUCUCUACGGAAUAGCCCCGGGAAACUGGGCGUAAUACCGUAUACGCCCUUUGGGGGAAAGAUUUCUUGGAGCAGGAUGGGCCCGCGUUGGUUUCGGUAGUUGGUGGGGUAAUGGCCCACUAAGCCGACGAUCCAUAGCUGGUUGGAGAGCAUGAUCAGCCACACUGGGACUGAGACACGGCCCAGACUCGUACGAGAGGCAGCAGAGGGGAAACUAAGACAAGGAGGGCAACGCUGAUCUAGCCAGGCCGGGAGAGUGAUGAAGGCGUUAGAGUUGGAAAGCUCUUUCAGCGGGGAAGAUAAGGACGGUACCAGCAGAAGAAGCCCCGGCUAACACCGU
rnacentral:rRNA from 1 species